UACGGAGGAUGCAAGCGCUAUCCGGAAUUAUUGGGCGUAAAGCGUCCGUAGGUGGCAUUUCAAGUCUGCCGUUAAAGCCCGAAGCUUAACUUUGGAAAAGCGGUGGAAACUGAGAAGCUAGAGUGCGGUAGGGGUAGAGGGAAUUCCCAGUGCAGCGGUGAAAUGCGUAGAGAUUGGGAAGAACACCGGUGGCGAAAGCGCUCUACUGGGCCGCAACUGACCCUGAUGGACGAAAGCUAGGGGAGCGAAAGGG
rnacentral:rRNA from 1 species